rnacentral:rRNA from 1 species
CGAGAGGCCCGAACGUUAUUCGGAAUUACUGGGCUUAAAGAGUUCGUAGGCGGCAUGACAAGUAGGGUGUGAAAGCCCUCGGCUCAACCGAGGAAUUGCGCUCUAAACUGUCGUGCUUGAGGAACCUAGAGGUGAGCAGAACAGAUGGUGGAGCGGUGAAAUGCGUUGAUAUCAUCUGGAAUACCGGAGGCGAAGGCGGCUCACUGGGAGUUUUCUGACGCUGAGGAACGAAAGCCAGGGUAGCGAACGGGAUUAGAUACCCCGGUAGUCCUGGCCGUAAACGAUGAGCACUAGGCCGGAGCCCUGCACAGGGUUUCGGCCGUAGCUAAAGUGUUAAGUGCUCCGCCUGGGGAGUAUGGUCGCAAGGCUG